GCGAGAGUGGCGAAAUUGGCAGACGCGCUAGACUUAGGAUCUAGUGUCCUCACGGACUUGGGGGUUCGAGUCCCCCCUCUCGCA
rnacentral:tRNA from 1 species